AAGAUCGAGCGUUAUCCGGAUUUAUUGGGUUUAAGGGUCCGUAGGCGGCUUUUUAAGUCAGUGGUGAAAUCCCAGAGCUCAACUCUGGAACUGCCAUUGAAACUGAAGAGCUUGAAUAUGGUUGAGGUAGGCGGAAUACGUUAUGUAGCGGUGAAAUGCAUAGAUAUAACGUAGAACACCAAUUGCGAAGGCAGCUUACUAAGCCAUUAUUGACGCUGAUGGACGAAAGCGUGGGGAGCGAACAGGAUUAGAUACCCUGGUAGUCCACGCCGUAAACGAUGAUUACUCGUUGUGCACAACUACAUCGUGCGUGACUGAGCGAAAGCAUUAAGUAAUCCACCUGGGGAGUACGUUCGCAAGAAUGAAACUCAAAGGAAUUGACGGGGGCCCGCACAAGCGGAGGAACAUGUGGUUUAAUUCGAUGAUACCGCCGAGGAACCUUACCUGGACAUUAAAUGUAGAUUGACCGGUUUAGAAAUAGAUCUUCCCUUCGGGGCAAUUUACAAGGUGCUGCAUGGUUGUCGUCAGCUCGUGCCGUGAGGUGUCGGGUUAAGUCCCAUAACGAGCGCAACCCCUAUCGUUAGUUGCUAGCAGGUAAUGCUGAGGACUCUAGCGAGACUGCCACCGUAAGGUGAGAGGAAGGUGGGGAUGACGUCAAAUCAGCACGGCCCUUACGUCCAGGGCUACACACGUGUUACAAUGGCCAGUACAAAGGGCAGCUACCUGGUGACAGGAUGCUAAUCUCAAAAGCUGGUCUCAGUUCGGAUCGGAGUCUGCAACUCGACUCCGUGAAGUUGGAUUCGCUAGUAAUCGUAUAUCAGCAAUGAUACGGUGAAUACGUUCCCGGGCCUUGUACACACCGCCCGUCAAGCCCAUGGAAGACCGAGGGUGCACUGAAGUACGUUACCGACAGGGAGCGUCCUAGGGUAAACUUGUAAACGGGGGG
rnacentral:rRNA from 1 species